AGGAUUGGGACCCAAGAGAGCAAACAGCUUGAGGGGCAAGGGCCAAUGUGGCUACCGGAUCCUGCCACGAGGUGGCGACAAUCCAGCUGGAAAGACCCUCUGGGGGUGGCAUUGAUGGUUCGCAACCAAGAAAGGAACUUCCACAGACACAAAGACAGGGUCUUCGGAACCGGGAACAGGCGUUUGCCUUCUUCGCCAGCAGUACCUCGGGAGUGAACGUGAUGAAGGUGGCCCGGAGAAGGAUCGAGAAGCACCCUUCUUAUUCCUUGGGCUUCCACUUCCCAGGACUGCAAGCCUUGGUGUGGGUAGGAUUUUGUGCAAAGUCACCCGAAAAAGUCCAUGUUUGACCUUCCCCUGCCGCCCGGAGGCCAGCCAGAUGCUUCCCUCAUUCUCAGGAUUCCCAGCCGCGAGUGGACGAUUGUGAGCCCAGCCACACGCCUCAGGCCAGGAUCCGGCCAAGCAGAGCGAUCCAGCCAGCUCAUCCCCGGGGCCGGGUCUCCGCGGCUCCUCGGAGCCAAACCGUGGAGGGGCCCGAAGCCCGGUUCUGGGGCGAGCAGCAGCUGUAGGGUGUGCCCGCGGCUCCUCUGCACCCGGUGCCUGGGAAAAUGUUCGGAGCUGGGCGAGGCUAGGGGGUGGGUGCUCUCCUUGUUUUGUUUAGUUGUGAAUGUGAGGAACCACCACCACACCCUCGUUUGUUUCAGGAGGGAGGGAGCUGGCUUUGAAACUCCGCUGUUAGGAAACUCGCAACAGGGCUGUUAGGAAACUCCAGUGCAAUGACCGUCCUGGGCUGCAGGACCUGGGCCCUGGCUUGCCUGGCCGCGGUGCUCCAACCAUUGGCCUGCCUGGCAGCCACGGGCGAAUCCUGGUCCCUCCAGCUAGGGAGCCGGGAAGGAAAGCCCAGAACACGCACACGCACGCGCGCGCCCCGGCUGGCCACUCACCUGCCCAUCGCUCUGGGGUGUGGGGUGGGAGUCAAGAGUGGCGAAGAGCAUGUGAUCGACACAUGCCGGAUAGGAUUGCGUUAUUUAAGCCCCACAGCAUCACCCCCUGCAUUUUACAGAGGUGAGAAACAAGCUUUAGAUGCUGAGUAGUUUGCCCAAGGCCGCUCAACUCUUAGCGGGACUGGGCUUUUACUCUCGACCCGCACUUCUCCAAAACCCUAGGCUGUGCUUCCUCGGACAGCCCCGCCGCCGAGAGGCCACUGGGAGGAGUGAGUAUAAAUAGAGCUGGGAAUGAGCCUAGGCGCUGGCAGGACAGCCAAGGUUAUUCUGGACUCGCCUUGCCUUUGAAGGCAGACUGGAGAACAGCUAGUGUAGCCCGACCUUUCCCCACCUCCAUCAACAAAUGCUGCGUACCAGGGACCCUCCUAAGCACGGAGGCAUCCCAGGGAACAAGACAGUCCAUAUUAAUGUGCGAUUGCGCGGGUGCUUAUGGAGCUAAUUAUUGAGCUAUUGACUCUCACCCCUAACCACCGUCUGCAUGCUGCAGCUGGGCCUCUGCUACAGAGCCCUGAAAAGCUCCGCCAAUCAGGGCACUAGCCGGAGGAAGAGCAGCUCUCCUUUCUGCCGGCAAUCCCUGUUGGCUUCCCGCAGCGGGGUGGUGCUUUCCGACCAGAUUUCUCCAGCACCCCCAGCCUUUGUUCAGCGGUGACAGAACGGGAGCCGGGCAAAGCAUCCACGUCUCUGCAGCCUGAGCCCAGGCGCCAGGGUUCUUCCCUGGGUUCCCCGGUCCUGGUCUGGAAACAGUCCCCUCUAGCCAGAGUGUCUGGGGUCCGUGCCUCCCCAGACCCUUCCAACAACCCGUGUUGUGCUGUUCGGGAUGUGAGCCCUUGGGUUAAGGGUAGUCCUGCUACCAUGCCUGUGUUCCACCGCCUCGGACUCGAGCCCUCUGGAACUGGUAUUUUGUCAUGGCAACAAGAACAGUAACUAAGACAGUGAAUAUACAGGAAACAGAUAAUGCAAAAUAGCCUGAAUCCAAAUGCUGAGCUCAUUGGUGGGCGGCACAGUGAGGAUGAUACUGGAGUGAAGGACCACAGAGCCAGGAUCGGAGGGACUGUAAAAUGAUGCAGUUUCUAUGGAAACUAUAUGAGGACACUUAAAAACUUAAAAACAGAAUUACCACAUAAUCCGGCAAAUUCCACUUUGGGGUAUAUCCAAAAGAUCUGAAAUUAAAAACAAGGUUCUGAAGAGACAGUUGUGUGCCCAUGUUCCUGUAAGUAUUAUAACAACAAAAAGGGGAAGAAAACAAAUAUGUGUUUGUGAUUAUGAAUGUAUAAAUGGAAUGUUAUAUUUUGUAUAAAUGAAAUAUUACUCAGAUUUUAAAAGGAAAAAAAUUCGGAUAUCUACUAUGCACAUAGAUUAACUUUGAGAAAAUUAUGCCAAGUGAAAUAAGCCAGAUAGGCAAUGACCAAAAAUGUCAAAUUCUCAAGGGUGAGACAUCUGGAUAAUCAAGUUCACAGAAAUAGAAAAUAGAAUGGCGUUUGCCACAGGCCCUGAGGAGAAACACUGGAUAAUCAUGGGGCUUCAGUUUUACAAGAUGAGAAGAGUUCUGGACAUCGGUCAAGCACCUUGGUUGGUGUACUUAGCAUAGCUGAACUGGACAUGCAAGAUGUUAGAACAGCCACCUUCACAUUACAUGUGUUUUUAACAGAAUUACCGAAAUAACAGGGCAGAUGUGCUAGGAGUCCUUGCAGAGACCAAAAGGAGCAAAUCCCGGAAGCUGAGACUGGACUGGCAGAUGUGAUGUAGGAGGUUCUAUGCCCACAGGAUACUUUGCCAGCCGUUGGAUUUGGAAGCAUCCAGAAUCUGGGAAGUAUCCAUCAUAGAUUGUUAAGUGCUGUAUAUAGACUGUCUGUGCUCCCCUGGCCACCCUCCUCAAACUCCAUGUUGACAUCCUGAUCUUCUAGGAUGUGGAACUGGGAGGUCCUUAUGUCAGGAGUGACGUAAGCACCCUAUGAAAAAGGACCAUCUUCUACCAUGAGAGAGGUGGUCUCAGCACACCCCGACACUCAGGAGCCUCAACCUUGUCCUUCCAGAUUCCUGGGAGAGGGAAACUCCUGUUGUUUAUAAACUGCCCGGCCUCCAGCAUUCUGUUGUGGCAGCCUGAGCAGACUUUGUAAGAAAAGCCCUUACGAAUAUUUGGGCUGAGGAAGCUGAAGGGUCUUGUAGUGCCAGAGGACUUGGGCUGACUCAGGACCUUUGAGGCCAGCUUGGGUUACAUAGUUCAAGGUUAGCCCAGGCUGUGUAGUGCAACCCUGUCUC